rnacentral:tRNA from 1 species
GGCAAUGUGGCUCAAUGGUAGAGCACUUGCCUUGCAUGCCUGAGGCCCUGGGUUCGAUUCCCCAGCACCA